CCUACGGGAUGCAGCAGUGAGGAAUAUUGGUCAAUGGACGGGAGCCUGAACCAGCCAAGUAGCGUGAGGGAUGACGGUCCUACGGGUCGUAAACCGCUUUUGUCCGGGGACAACACCCGCCACUUGUGGCGGGAUGCAGGUUACCCGCAAAAAAGGGAUCGGCUAACUCCGUGCAAGCAGCCGCGGUAAUACGGAGGCUGCGAGCGGUAUCCGGAUUUAUUGGGUUGAAGGGGUGCGUAGGCGGACGGUCAAGUCAGCGGUAAAAUGUCGGGGCUCAACCCCGGCCCGAGGUUGAAACUGGUCUUCUUGAGUGAGCGACAAGCAGGCGGAAUGCGUGGUGUAGCGGUGAAAUGCAUAGAUAUCACGAAGAACCCCGAUUGCGAAGGCAGCCUACCGGGGCUCAACUGACGCUGAGGCACGAAGGCGCGGGGAUCGAACAGGAUUAGAUACCCGUGUAGUC
rnacentral:rRNA from 1 species